rnacentral:rRNA from 1 species
GAUGAACGCUGGCGGCGUGCCUAAUACAUGCAAGUCGAGCGAACGGACGAGAAGCUUGCUUCUCUGAUGUUAGCGGCGGACGGGUGAGUAACACGUGGAUAACCUACCUAUAAGACUGGGAUAACUUCGGGAAACCGGAGCUAAUACCGGAUAAUAUUUUGAACCGCAUGGUUCAAAAGUGAAAGACGGUCUUGCUGUCACUUAUAGAUGGAUCCGCGCUGCAUUAGCUAGUUGGUAAGGUAACGGCUUACCAAGGCAACGAUGCAUAGCCGACCUGAGAGGGUGAUCGGCCACACUGGAACUGAGACACGGUCCAGACUCCUACGGGAGGCAGCAGUAGGGAAUCUUCCGCAAUGGGCGAAAGCCUGACGGAGCAACGCCGCGUGAGUGAUGAAGGUCUUCGGAUCGUAAAACUCUGUUAUUAGGGAAGAACAUAUGUGUAAGUAACUGUGCACAUCUUGACGGUACCUAGUCAGAAAGCCACGGCUAACUACGUGCCAGCAGCCGCGGUAAUACGUAGGUGGCAAGCGUUAUCCGGAAUUAUUGGGCGUAAAGCGCGCGUAGGCGGUUUUUUAAGUCUGAUGUGAAAGCCCACGGCUAAACCGUGGAGGGUCAUUGGAAACUGGAAAACUUGAGUGCAGAAGAGGAAAGUGGAAUUCCAUGUGUAGCGGUGAAAUGCGCAGAGAUAUGGAGGAACACCAGUGGCGAAGGCGACUUUCUGGUCUGUAACUGACGCUGAUGUGCGAAAGCGUGGGGAUCAAACAGGAUUAGAUACCCUGGUAGUCCACGCCGUAAACGAUGAGUGCUAAGUGUUAGGGGGUUUCCGCCCCUUAGUGCUGCAGCUAACGCAUUAAGCACUCCGCCUGGGGAGUACGACCGCAAGGUUGAAACUCAAAGGAAUUGACGGGGACCCGCACAAGCGGUGGAGCAUGUGGUUUAAUUCGAAGCAACGCGAAGAACCUUACCAAAUCUUGACAUCCUUUGACAACUCUAGAGAUAGAGCCUUCCCCUUCGGGGGACAAAGUGACAGGUGGUGCAUGGUUGUCGUCAGCUCGUGUCGUGAGAUGUUGGGUUAAGUCCCGCAACGAGCGCAACCCUUAAGCUUAGUUGCCAUCAUUAAGUUGGGCACUCUAAGUUGACUGCCGGUGACAAACCGGAGGAAGGUGGGGAUGACGUCAAAUCAUCAUGCCCCUUAUGAUUUGGGCUACACACGUGCUACAAUGGACAAUACAAAGGGCAGCGAAACCGCGAGGUCAAGCAAAUCCCAUAAAGUUGUUCUCAGUUCGGAUUGUAGUCUGCAACUCGACUACAUGAAGCUGGAAUCGCUAGUAAUCGUAGAUCAGCAUGCUACGGUGAAUACGUUCCCAGGUCU